rnacentral:lncRNA from 1 species
GACAGAUAGUACUGAAGGAAUGAUUAACCGGCGGACAAGACCGUCCACGGCAAUGACUGAAUGGAAAUGAGACAGGUGGUAAAAUGCGAGAUCAAAAGAACACAACAGGUUGAUAGUGGGCCGCAAACUUUGAACUAGUUUCUGCCAAACACGAGCGGUUUUAUUGGACGUGUGAGGAUCAGGAUAUACACGCGUGUUCACUGCGGGAUCAGAUGAAGUCACACCUCACAGACGGAAAUAAAUACACCACUCCACACAAAGGAGCAAUUUGAUGCAAGGCGAGAGGCAACAAUGCCAUCUAAUUUUGGCGUCAAAAGAUAAAGCGUCUCGGCACAAGUGGCCCUGGCAAACACAGGCCUGUUGACUGAAGCUUGGGGACCUGAUGACCCUCAUGUCACCGUCUCACAGCAGCUACAAGGCACAAAACAACAGCGUCUUGACUAGUACAAGUGGACGUUCGCUGAUAACACAAAAGUACCUGAGAGCUCUUUGCUUACCAGAGAGAUUACCAGCCCGCUGAGGCUCAAAGCUGGGGGAUUUGUCAACUUAACCCCUGUCCCCACGCUUGCCUUUUUUUCCCCCCCCCUUCAGUCGUGUUUUACGAUGCUGGAUGGAGCCCUGCACUAAACACAGAGGUCUUUACAGCAGAAUAAAACAUGGUUAAGUGUAGCGCGGCUGGGGUCAAGGUUUCAGUGGUGGAGGAGAGGGAUUCGGGAGCUAAUGAAAACCGGAUCAUGCAGACUGACGGACAAAGAGAUAUUCAAGUCAUGUAUGUGCUGCUGAGAGCUGGGCGUAUGGUUACUGGAAUUACAGGUGGUCAACUGAAAAAAACUGGUAUCAUAAAACCUAAUCUAUUGGUGCAUUGAGUUAUACAUUAAAUACAUAUUUUGGACUGAAAACAAAAAUUGUAGUUGAUUUAACAUGACUGUUGAUUUUAUCAGUGGUAUUUUAAUAUUUUAGGGCCUAAAACAUUAGUUAAAUCAAAUUAAUCUCUCAAGUUAACUCAGCUUAAAUUACAGUUAACUAAAAUACCAAGUUGACUCUUCAUUAAGCUUAGUCUUUCACAUACAAGUGCAUGCAGCUAUUGGAAUCUUACCAGCUCGAGAUUUCAGGUCUCAUUUAUUUCCAUUGAUUUUUUAGCUCGUUAUGCUGAUUGAUGCAGCAAACUGGUAUUUUCUUCUUAUAUUCUUAUAUUAUUUUUAUGUUUUCCAGUGAUGGGUUGCAGCUAGAAGGGCAUCCAUUGUGUAAAACAUAUGCUGGAUAUGUUGGGGGUUCAUUCCGCUGUGGUGACCCCAGAUUACAGUAAUAAAGGGACUAAGCCGAAAAGAAAAUGAAUGAAUUAUUGUUAUGUACAGUCAUAAACACACUUGUUUG